rnacentral:other from 1 species
AUUAUUCUGCUGUGUGCGUGGAAAUGGCUUAUGUUGAGCCAACAUUUUUACAUUGUGGCUGAUGUUCUUAAUAUGGAGUGUUGACUGGCUAUUUAUAGCUAGUACCAGAAGUAUUAAGGCGAUUCCACCCCUGGUCGACAGGGUUCAAAUAUCCCAUGGAGACGGCACAGUGGUGUAUCA